UUUUGAAAAGAAAGGUAGUAGUGCGUCACAAAAGAAUGGUGAAGUGAAGCGUUUCCGGGAAUGUUCCCAAUUUUUGACAUGGUUGCCCCGCCGCUUUUUUUUGGACGCCGUGGUGCUGAAUUCUAAAGUUGGGAUUU
ensembl:ncRNA T22E5.14 ncRNA